ensembl:lncRNA
AUGAUUCCCAGGCUGCAUGUGGUUCCAGGGAAGAAGGCCACCGCUUUUGGACUCAUGUCUCCAAAGAUACACAGGAGACGACUAGCAGCUCAAGAUCUCUCUCAGGACCCAAAAAUUCUGUACCCUUCUCUUACUGGACCACGGAUAAAUGUUUCAGAUGCAACAGCGCAAGCUGAAACAGAGAGACCACCAUCCAGAUCAUCCACACCUCCUCCACUUCAAGCCAAUGGCAUCCUUCACUCAGGAAUUAUGUGUCUUACAGGGUUGGAAGAGUUGGUCCUAAAGAGUUUGCCACCGCCAAAGUGGAGUUCACACCAAAGCUGCCAGGACAAAGAAAAAUACUGACAGAUUUUGCCAGCGAUAAACUUCACAGUAGUGAGACCUUUAAGAAUCUCGUCAUCUAUGAAUAAAUGAGCAGUUUAUAUAAUGCUUGUGAUGUCUUAUGGUAAUGUUUUUUAUUUCUUUUUUUAUUUUGGCACUUUUUACAUUUUCAGAAACAUGCAUGACAAAACUUGAAUAUGAAGCAAUAUCCUUCCAUAAUGCCACUUUUAGUGCAAAAAAUAUUUUGUACUGUCAUGACUGUACUGUAGAUUCAUGAUUUUUACUGUAAACACAGAGAAAAUUAUUUGGCUUUACAAAUAGAAGUGCGGUUGGAAUACAUUGCCAUACAUGUGGAUGCCUGAUGUGCAUUUCUCAUAUUAGAAAAACAGAAUUUGAAUCCUGCAUUAAUGCAAAACAAGCCACAAUCAGUCCCACCUUCAGCUGGAGUGAAGCUGCCAUCUGCCAACUGUGCUUUGGGUGUUUCAGUGUAGAGUGAGUGAAAACCAAAGAACACCACUUUCUUGUGAGGAAACAUUCUUUAAAACUUUUUUUACACUUAUUUUCUUCUACAGCUCUUUCUCCAAUUUUUUUG